rnacentral:rRNA from 1 species
UGAAGACUCUGCUUGACUAGCUGAGAGGAGGUGCAUGGCCGUCGUCAGUUCGUACUGCGAAGCAUCCUGUUAAGUCAGGCAACGAGCGAGACCCACGCCAACAGUUGCCAGCAUGUCCUCCGGGAUGAUGGGGACACUGUUGGGACCGCCUCUGCUAAAGAGGAGGAAGGAAUGGGCAACGGUAGGUCAGCAUGCCCCGAAUUAUCCGGGCUACACGCGGGCUACAAUGGUCAGGACAAUGGGUAUCGACACCGAGAGGUGGAGGCAAUCUCCUAAACCUGUCCUUAGUUCGGAUUGUGGGCUGCAACUCGCCCACAUGAAGCUGGAAUCCGUAGUAAUCGCGUUUCAAAAUAGCGCGGUGAAUAUGUCCCUGCUCCUU